UAGUUCAGAUGGUAAAGUAUCUGCCUGCAAUGCAGGAGUACAAGGUUCAAUUCCUUG
rnacentral:tRNA from 1 species